CUCCUUUUCCCAAAUCAACCAGGUCUUUCACUCGCUUCUCGCUGCUGCCAACCGCUGGCCGCCGGCCUUGCCAACUUCCGCUGCCCUCCGUAGCGAGGGCCCUCCAGGCCGCCAUGACGGGUGUGGUGUGGGGUGUCUGCUGAUGUUUGCUGCUUCUUCUCCUUCCCUCACUACCUUCUCCGCUCGUGUUGCCUGCUGCCGUGCUGCGGACCACUGCUGCUGCCGCCGACUGAUAAACUAAUCGGUGAACUGUUGUUGAAGGGCCGAAGGAGCAAGACUGCUGCAAGAGGAAGGUAACACUGGCGAAACAGCAAACCAUGGUCCAGGAGAGCAUAUCUGUAGUUAUUGGCCAUAUGCAGGCAUCUUUUGGUCAGUCUGGUGUGUUCUAUAAUUGUGGCCAUGGACAACUUUUGGCCAGUCCGAUGUAUUCUACAGUUGAGGCAAUGGAGCACUUUUGGCCAGUCUGGUGUAUUCUAUAGUUGUGGCAAUGGAGUGGUCAUUAUCCACAAUACCAGGUAUGUUGUUGCUACAAUGUAUCUAUGUGAACAUAAAUCGUGAGCACUGGAUAAUAGUAGUAAUUAUAUAUACACAAUGUAUAUUUUGUUCCAGUCUAUGCUAUGACAUUGUGAGCCGCAUCUAUUUUGUGCACAUUUUGCUUUGUACUCCCUCCGUUCCUAAAUAUAAGUCUUUGUAGAGAUUGCACUAGGUGGACUACAUACGAAACAAAAUGAAUGAAUCUAAAUAUAAUAUGCAUCUAUAUACAUCCGUAUGCGGUUUAUAGUGCAAUCUCUACAAAGACUUACAUUUAGGAACGGAGGGAGUAUUUGAAAUCCCCUCCCUCUUUGCUGCUUGUCAUGCUCAGACACUGGCAGAUAGGACAAAUUAACCAUACACAAUACAUGUACAUAUGAACUAAAAUACAAUGGGCAUCCUAAAGCUAACAUGGAAAAAUAAUGAAACAACCUGAAAGAAAGAAUGCAGCAAAUGGAAAGCAUAUAAUAAUGAAGGUCUAUAAAAACCUAGCUCUUUUUUUGGCAAAAAGAAUCAGUUAUUUCUAGUUCCCUAAUUCUAGAGCUACGUAUUUCCGGUUCUUGCAAUUUAUCUGCGAUAAUCUGGUAAAGUACAACAUGCACCAACUGAACAUUUGCUAGUAUAGCUAAAAGCUGAAGCUAUCCGACACAAGGACCAUCCAAUUUCCCAAGACGGUUAGUCACUAUGUGUGAACAAGGCCAGAGGACUAAAAUAUAAAAAGCUAGCUAAGGAUUCAUCAGCAGAUUUUUCUUGUGCUUGCUAUAUGUCUGAAACAAACAAUAGUCAAAGAGUGUACUUAUGAACAGACGUAAGCAGACACCAUAUCAAUAGCUAACAGCAUCACACAGCAACCCGAUCACACAUCAAGAUGGAUUGAUGGAAAUGGAAAGAUAAAGUAUGCUCUGGCAGUAGAACCAAAAUUUCCUAACCUGUAACCAUGAGAAAUAUCCAAAUACAACAAAUUAUGUCUCAUCCAUGCCAUCUAAAGAUUCUGAACCAUCCAAACAAAUUUUAUACCAGUAUUGUGGAUGCAUUCCUGCAAAAGAAUAAGAUAAAGAAAAUGCAAUAAAAAACCUCAAGUGUAGGUUUGUUUGAAAUUCAGAUAUUUUGCACAUACCUUCUUUAUGAAUCUCCAAGGAAUCAAAUAUAAAUGAUGAGAAGGAUAUCAGGAUUGUCCUAGUAGAUAUGGAAUCCGAAUAGAAGUAAGCCGUGAUUCCUUGCUUCCAUUGCCGCAUUUCACUCGUAACAGAGCCUUUGAAAACAAAUAUCCUUUGCUUAUUCGUGCAACUGUUGGAUCUAGGAGGCUAGGAAGACAGGCCUUUUCGUUACGCAUUUAGCCAUAUUAGGUACCUGAAAAUUGAAAAAAGCCAAUUGAUAUGAGCACAUGAAGCUACAAGAAGAUACCAACUCCUAGAUACUUUGCACUUUGAAUAUUUUAUUAAGUGAAUCUGUAAGACAUGCAGAUUAUGAAUAUCAAAUAUCUUCCCUAUGGUCUUAAAUGUGGGUCUAGAUAAAUAAACAUAUUAGUCAUUUCCAUUAGGAUUGGUAAGAUUCUACUCACCCUAGACAAUAUAUGAAGUGCAAUUGUUUGACUUGUUCUAUAUCCAAUUUCAAUUGCUUUGUUCUAUGAAAUAAGGAAGACAAAGUGUAGUCUGAUUAGGAUGCAAGUCAAUUUUUAGGUUUUCAAGCAAGGGCUGACAUAGAUAUACAAACCAGAAGAAUUGCCCCCAUUUGAAUUACUUUAUAUGUUCACUACCAGUUUCAAAUGACAAAAGGAGUAAGUGAAAGUAAAAGAAAAGUGCAUAAAAGAAAAAGUACUCGCUUGAACAGAUCUGCAAAGCUUCAUACUUGUAUCAAUGUGCUUUGUAAUAAGCAUUACUGCAUUAGUAUACAAAUAGAAACAUCAUGAUACAUAAAGAAAUUCGUCGCAUCGUGUUGCAAAACCAGAAAAGUAAAACCAAACCCCCUCUCCUAGAGCCUCUUCCCUAUGAUUUUCUUAGACACCAUGGGAAUGAUGGGGGCAGAAGUUUAGAGCUAGCAUGGAAAGGGACACCAUGGUACAUUGAAAAGGAGAGGCUCUUUGUACAGCAAAACAACUCAGUGCACUCGGCGGGCAAGGUUGCGGAAGGAGGGUUGCUGCCAUCAGGGUAGGAAUCAACCCCCACCCAAACCCUAUCUGCAUAAGAACAAAAAAAAAUAGGAAGAAAUUAAUUAGUGGGAUGAGCUCAGGUCAAAAAAUGAGGAAAGGAGUAAGAAAGGGCUCACCUGUGCUGGUGUCUCCGCCAUGAACUGGGAGCUGUCCUUGACAUCUCCUCUGCAGGUAGCCAUCUGGGUGGGGGCUCGACCAGGACGAAUUCGUCCAGUGUCAUUCACUGUUGUCCUCACUGCAACACACUGUUGUCUGUGGCCUGCCUAGCUUCUAUGUGCCCUCUCCACCCUGCCUGAAUGGGAGAGAUUGGAGAGGGAUGAGGAGGGGUUGUGAGGAAGAGACAGGACCCGUUGAAGAGAAAAAAAUAGAGGACCUGUGGAAGAGAGAAAGAGUGUUCACCUGUUCUGACUAAAACACCCGGAGAACGAGCAAGCGGAAGCGGGAAGCGCGUGCAAAGGAGGUGCGUGAGGAGGAUGCGACCAUGGCCAUGAGGAGGAGCGGCACCGCUGCUGCUUCACCCAUGGCCAUGAGGAGGAGCGGCGCCGCUGCUGCUUCACCCGUGGCCAUGAGGAGGAGCGGCGCCGCUGCUGCUUCACCCAUGGCCAUGAGGAGGAGCGGCGCCGCUGCUGCUUCACCCGUGGCCAUGAGGAGGAGCGGCGCCGUCGCUGCUGCGCAGAGGAGCGAAGAGAACACACGAUUAAAAGUCUGAAGGAUUCAUCUAACAUCAUAGGUCUUCAUGGGUCUAGAAAUCAACCUGGAUUUACUACCUGAAGAAAGGGAAAUAGGCAUGUACUUUGUCCAAGAUCUAGAAUGAUAUAUACGAUACGAAAACACUGUGCAUCUAGCUAUUCAUAUAUGAAACAAAAUCAUAACAAUUUUACCUAAUCAAGGUAAUGAGCUUCCACGAGCACAUUCGCUGCUCCUACCAAUUGUGCAGAACUAUCAGGCUGCGAACAUUUAGGAAGGGGCCAAAAAAUUAUAAAGCACUACAGCAGCAGCUCAUCAUGGCAAUCCUGGAAAGAAAAGACUUGUCAGUGUAGAAGAGGUUGGUGAAACCUUCUCUGCCUCAUUUUCCUUCUACUGCAGAUAAAAAGAAAAGAAGUGAACUUGAUGUCCAGAUCUCAGAUUUCAUACCAUUUUUUUGCCAGAAAAGGCAAAGUAACAAAUGUGAGAACUCAAACCAAGUUAGAGAUGUGGAGAGCAGGGGAAGAGAGGAGAGGAGGUGAAGGCAAACCUGAACUACUGCCUCAGCAUCCUUGCUCCCGCUCCUGCUGUGCGUGGAAGGAGAGUGUUGCGGGGCACAGGAGCUGCAUGCCGUCGCCAUUGUGCACCAGCUGCAGGUGUCGUCGCCCACCCGCUGAGGCCACUACACGAGCGGCCGUCCGCCGCACCACCGCACUGCACAAGCCGAUCUAGGAGCGAAUCGAGCCGCCACCAAUGGCCAGGUCGCGCCCGACCUCGCCGGCGCGGGCCAACGCCAGCGGAGACCCUCUCCCAUUCGAAGUCGCACCUCCCUAUCCUCUUUCCGCAAUUUCACCCUCCUCUCCCUCCUUCUCCCUCUCAUCUUCACUCUCUCCCCUGCAGAUCGAAUUGAGCGCGCGGCAGAGGAUGAGGCUGGCGGAACGGGGAAGAGGAGGGGCUCAGCGAUAGGCGCGGGAUGGAGGAAGGAAAGGGCGGCGGCGCGACGAGAAUCAAGGGAGAGAAAAGGAGGCGAUGGGAAGGCGACGAUGCAGGAGGGGAUGAGGGUACGCGGGGCUCGAGGACAGGAGGCGAUUGGAGCUCGGGGACGGGAGGGGAUUGGGCUAGGUUUUCACCGCACCCGCAAUUUUGCAUGACACACACACACACCACUUUUUUGACUAGAACCCCCACUGCAACGCAGGCCCCACGAGGAAGGAUGGCCCAGGCGUCAUCUGCUCAAACUGAAACCCAUGACGUGAAAUAAAAUUGACGGACAGAUGCUUGACAGGCAGUUGAAAAGUACAUAAAUCUUUACAGCGAGGCAAAACGAGCGAUGCAGAUGGGGAGCGCGCGACAAAGGCGCCAGAAUGGCGGGUAGUCUAGCGUGAUUUAUAUGUUCAAUGAUAGAGUUCAGCUGCUUGGUCGAAACUUCAUUUGAGAAGUGCCACUUGAUGUUGAAUCCAGAAAUUUUUAAAAUAUACAAAGUUUCCUAGAUGAUUACCAUUGAUCCAUAGCUCUAAAGGUGAUACUUACUAUAAGUGUUUUGUACUACAACAAGAGUACUAUCAUGCCAAGCCCCUAGAUGGCAUGACAGAUCCUGCAGCUUGUUCAACAACAGCCUUAAAGUAGCUAUGACAAUAAAGCUGUUUUUUUAUGUUUUCUGUUAACAGAACAUAGCACUUCGUGAUUUUCGUAGGAUUUAAUCCAUGCAUCAAAUGGAUUUGGUCCAGUGCAAACAUUAGAACCUUAUCAAGUGUACUACCUGCCCAUAAAACUUUUACUCCUGUUAACAGUCGUUUAGGCGCUCUUUAGGGGUUGUCUAGAGGGUUAGUGUAGAAUUAGAAGCGAUCAACAGCUACAGUAUCUAGCAGCAGUGUGCAGUAGAACAACGAUGGGCAGAGCCAUGGCGCGGGCAGUUGGCCGUGGCAGGCGUAGGUGGGACCGCCGCAGCGGCAAGCGCGGCCAUUGCGGACGGGAGCCCGGGGGCGCCGGCGGCCGGAGGCGAGCGCUAGCACCGGACGCGUGCAGGGCAACAACGCGGCAGCAGGCAACGGCAAAAAGCAACAGAAGCAGCAGAAGGCCGCGGGGCGGGGUUAGGCGCUGGGCAGCGUGUGCGCGCGGCCUAAGGAGAGGCAAGGCACGGGCCGGAGCGGAUGUGCGUGCGCAGGCACGCACGGUAGCACACAACACCAGCGGCUGCGGCGACCAAGCGCGGGCGCGUAGGGGGGAGAUGCAGGGGGUGGCAUGGGCGCAGGCAAGAGGACGCGAGGCGCGAGCGCGACCAAGGCACGAGAACGUGGUCAGGGGCGCACGGUGUGGGGGCGCAAUGAGCGCGGCCGGCGACGAGCUCGCGGAGAUGGGGACUACAAGCACGGAUCGACGUUGGGGAAAGGGGGAUUCGGGAGAGGGGCUCACUGCACACUCGGGGACGUAGUCGAGGAGGCCGGGGACGGACUGGAGGAGCAGCGCGGCGGUGAGGUAGUGGUGCAGCCGGCGGCGUGGUCGAGCUCGAUGGCGAGGAUUUGGAGCGACUCCGAUGAGUCAGUGCUCGUAGUCGAGGUAGUCGACGAAGGGGAAGCCGGUGAGCACCAAGAGGAGGUGCGGGAGGCUCGGUGGCCACGGGAUCGGUGACGAUGACGACGACCGCGAGCUCGGCCUCGUCCGGGUCGUCGAUUAUGAGCGAGGAAGAGGGGGAUUUGGGGGCUAGGGUUUCGGGGAGGCAGAGAGGGGUGUCCUGGGGGGAUGCCUUAUCGACAUUUGGAGCGGGGGAAGGCCGCAGGAUGGCCGGUGGCCAUGGCGGAUGGUCGCCACGCCUACAGCCUCUACUGUAGCGGAGGUGGGAGGUGACCCAUAGUUGGCCUGGGCCUCCCUGUGCACUUGAGGUCCAGCCCAAUAGUAGAUAGGUUCCCCCCUACUUUUCUAUUUCCUUUUAUUUUCUUUUUCUAUUACCCUUUUGCAAUAAUUUGAGCUACCCAAUGAAUUUUGCUAAAUAUGAAACUUAGCAUAUAAUUUAAUUGCAUUACGGUUGGGUGGCACAAAAAGUUUGGAGUCAAAUGGGGCAAUUCAAAUUUGUAUUUGAAUUUUAAAUGUGUUUAUUUAAACUCGCUGAUCCACUAAAAUAUUUCUAGGGCCAAUUUAUAAGUUCAUUCAAUGUUGGAUCCUCUUCGAAAAAUACUAGGGGAUUAUUUGCAACAUUAUAAACAUUUUUGUUUUACUGUUUGUAGAAAUAUUAUUUUGACUUUAUUUUAAAUUUUGAAUUGAACUCGGUUUGGAUCAAAGUGAGGUUUAGCAAAUUAACUACAAUGAAAUUCCACCAUUAGUGUGUGAGUACUCUAUAUGAGCUACAGGGAUGUUACAGGGUCGGUGAUGGACGGACGAGCGGCGUCGUUCUCGGGCACAAAUCGUCGGCCGCGGAGGCAGGCAGUCAUUGGUGUAGCGGACUCAAACCAGCAGGUCGCCAGCGGCUAUGGCGGUGCGGCCGGCAGCGGGGUCGGGGAUGGGCCGACGGGUGGCGGCGGCACGUUUCAGGGCGAAAAUCGCUGGUGUGCGGGUGGCGGCGGUCGCGCGGAAGCCAAAUAAAUGCGGUUGGGCAGUUGGCGUGCAUCCAUGAGUUUUACAUCUCCUUUAGGUGGAGAUGUAAAUUUCCAUUGCGAGGUGUUGUAUUUUACAUCCAUGAGCCUCCCGGAGAUGUAAUUUUAUUUUUUUCAUCAACAUCGUCUAUUGGAGAUGGGUUUUUGUGCCUCAGAGAUGUUUUUUUUUUUGCAUCUACAUCAUCUGUUGGGGAGGGGGUUUUGUGCCUCGAUAUGCAAAAGUUAGUUAUUUUUACAUC